rnacentral:rRNA from 1 species
ACGGAGGGGGCUAGCGUUGUUCGGAAUCACUGGGCGUAAAGCGUAUGUAGGCGGAUCAAAAAGUUAGAUGUGAAAUCCCUGGGCUUAACCUAGGAACUGCAUUUAAAACUAGUGAUCUAGAAUUUGGUAGAGGUUAGUAGAAUUUCCAGUGUAGAGGUGAAAUUCGUAGAUAUUGGAAAGAAUACCAGUGGCGAAGGCGACUAACUGGGCCAUUUUUGACGCUGAGAUACGAAAGCGUGGGUAGCAAACAGG